CCUACGGGUGGCAGCAGUGGGGAAUAUUGCGCAAUGGGCGAAAGCCUGACGCAGCGACGCCGCGUGAGGGAUGAAGGUCCUCGGAUUGUAAACCUCUGUCAGCAGGGAAGAACGGUCACUGUGCUAUUCAGCAGUGAAUUGACGGUACCUGCAAUGGAACCACCGGCUAACUCCGUCCCAGCAGCCGCGGUAAGACGGAGGGUGCGAGCUUUAAUCGGUAUUACUGGGCGUAAGGGGCUCGUAGGUUGUAUGUCAAGUCUAGGGGGAAAUCCUCGGGCUCAACGUGGGAACUGCCUUUGAAACUGGCAAACUGGAGUGUGUGAGAGGAAAGUGGAAUGCCUGGUGUAGGAGUGAAAUGCGUAGAUAUCGGGAGGAACAUCAGUGGCGAAGGCGAGUAUCUGGAACAUAACUGACGCUGAGGAGCGAAAGCGUGGGGAGCAAACAGGAUUAGAUACCCUAGUAGUC
rnacentral:rRNA from 1 species